rnacentral:rRNA from 1 species
AGUGAACGCUGGCGGUAGGCCUAACACAUGCAAGUCGAACGGCAGCACAGUAAGAGCUUGCUCUUACGGGUGGCGAGUGGCGGACGGGUGAGGAAUACAUCGGAAUCUACUUUUUCGUGGGGGAUAACGUAGGGAAACUUACGCUAAUACCGCAUACGACCUACGGGUGAAAGCAGGGGAUCUUCGGACCUUGCGCGAUUGAAUGAGCCGAUGUCGGAUAGCUAGUUGGCGGGGUAAAGGCCCACCAAGGCGACGAUCCGUAGCUGGUCUGAGAGGAUGAUCAGCCACACUGGAACUGAGACACGGUCCAGACUCCUACGGGAGGCAGCAGUGGGGAAUAUUGGGCAAUGGGCGCAAGCCUGAUCCAGCCAUACUGCGUGGGUGAAGAAGGCCUUCGGGUUGUAAAGCCCUUUUGUUGGGAAAGAAAAGCAGCAGGUUAAUACCCCGCUGUUCUGACGGUACCCAAAGAAUAAGCACCGGCUAACUUCGUG